CAGCAGCCGCGGUAAUACGAAGGGAGCUAGCGUUGCUCGGAAUUACUGGGCGUAAAGGGAGCGUAGGCGGAUCGUUAAGUUGGGGGUGAAAGCCCGGGGCUCAACCUCGGAACUGCCUUCAAUACUGGCGAUCUUGAGUAUGAGAGAGGUGUGUGGAACUCCGAGUGUAGAGGUGAAAUUCGUAGAUAUUCGGAAGAACACCAGUGGCGAAGGCGACACACUGGCUCAUUACUGACGCUGAGGCUCGAAAGCGUGGGGAGCAAACAGGAUUAGAUACCCCUGUAGUCCCUGUCUCUUAUAC
rnacentral:rRNA from 1 species